AACAUGGUGUUCUUGUUCACUCUUACUUUAGUUUGUGCAGGAGAUAGUUGAUUUUGAAUUGUUUGGUAUUUUUGUGCUUGUGUAUGUGGUUGCUUUGUUUUUUGACCUGCUGCCUAGCAGCGCGGCAGGAUGAGGAUGGCGACAUGUGCAAAAUGAUUAAGAAGAGAAAAUAUAGUCUAGAACAACUGACCAUAGAAUUGGAGGCUUUGGGUGUUCCGCUCAACGACAGGGCUAAUGAAAAUAAAAGCAGGAGGAAGGUCAAAAAGGAGCUACAAAAGCUCCUCAUUACAGAGGAAUUGAGGAGAGCUACGUACGCUGGACCAGAGAUACUUGAGGAAAGAAGACAAAGGCUGACCCUGCCUUUUCCAAUUCCAGAUGACAUAAUGAAUGUGUUGAAAGAGCUGAUGCGUUACACUCAAAAAAUAAUGUCCCGGACAGCACUCUGAAUUCUGACACUGUGAAGAGCUAUGUGAGAGUGGAGAGAGAACAUGAACUUACUGAAAAUGUGGUUUUGGUGAACAUCCUGAAGGCCCUGGAACCUCCUCAGGGUCUAACACUGGUAUGUCCUGAGGACCUAAAAAAAGAUAAGAUGGACAAAAUGGCAAAGGAUGAUGUGAAUAUAGCAAGUGUGAAUAUAGCAAGACAAGAACUAAGUGCAGGAGAAGGAAGGAACUUAACACUUAAAAUGGCCCCUGGUUUGCAAAUGGAUGGAGGAAAGAAAAAAAUGUGUUGAGGCAUU